GUGAACGCUGGCGGUAGGCCUCACACCUGCCAGUCGAACGGCAGCACAGUAAGAGCUCGCUCUUACGGGUGGCGAGUGGCGGACGGGUGAGGAAUACAUCGGAAUCUACUUUUUCGUGGGGGAUAACGUAGGGAAACUUACGCUAAUACCGCAUACGACCUACGGGUGAAAGCAGGGGAUCUUCGGACCUUGCGCGAUUGAAUGAGCCGAUGUCGGAUUAGCUAGUUGGCGGGGUAAAGGCCCACCAAGGCGACGAUCCGUAGCUGGUCUGAGAGGAUGAUCAGCCACACUGGAACUGAGACACGGUCCAGACUCCUACGGGAGGCAGCAGUGGGGAAUAUUGGACAAUGGGCGCAAGCCUGAUCCAGCCAUACCGCGUGGGUGAAGAAGGCCUUCGGGUUGUAAAGCCCUUUUGUUGGGAAAGAAAAGCAGCAGGUUAAUACCCCGCUGUUCUGACGGUACCCAAAGAAUAAGCACCGGCUAACUUCGUG
rnacentral:rRNA from 1 species